GUCGACGCGACCACCGCAGAGUUGGCCGCACUGCCCGCCAACUACCACAUGCGCACCGAGCAGCAGGGAGUACCUCUCGUAUGAUAAUCAUUAACGCGCCAAAAGGCGCUUGGGUCCCAUUAUCUUUCGUAUUCUAUUGUAAUUAGUUUUAGAAAACGGAGCACUUGAAUUGUAUACCUCAAAGCAUCUAGUUCUAUAUUCAGUCGCGGAAGUUACAGUUGUGAAGUCGUUCAAUCGCGUAGCAGAAAACGAAAGUUACAGGUGUUUGCCAUUCCUAGUUUAGUUCGUAAUUGUGGUACAAGCGAUUGUCGACUCACAGUAAGAUCCGCCGAUUGGUGAAGUUUGUCGGGUUCGAAAGUAAAUUUAUGAGCCCACUGAAUUUUUUGAAGCACCACGAAAUAUAUGCUCUCAAACCUCAGUUAGACGCUCUCAUUCGAUCCGACACCC